GGGUAUAUAGCUCAAGUGGUAGAGCACAUACUUAGCAUGCAUGAGGUCCUGGGUUCAGUCCCCAGUUGCUCCU
rnacentral:tRNA from 1 species